rnacentral:rRNA from 1 species
CUGACCUGCUCACUGACAAAGUUUUUAAGAGCCGCGGUAUUUUGACCGUGCAAAGGUAGCAUAAUCAUUAGUUUCUUAAUUAGGGGCUUGAAUGAACGGUUUGACGAAAAAUCAUCUGUCUCUUAUUAAAUUAUAGAAUUUAACUUUUAAGUUAAAAGGCUUAAAUUUUUCUUUAAGACGAGAAGACCCUAUAGAGCUUAACAUUUAUUUUUUAUAUAAUUUAUAGUUUAUUUUUUUAUAUUUAAAGAUAAUGUUUUGUUGGGGUGACAUGAAGAAUAGUUAAACUCUUCAUUAUAAAAUCAUUAAUUUAUGUUUAUUAAGAUCCAAAAUUUUUGAUCAUAAGAUUUAGUUACCUUAGGGAUAACAGCGUAAUUAUUUUUGAGAGCUCAUAUUGACAAAAUAGAUUGCGACCUCGAUGUUGGAUUAAGAAUAAUUUUGGGUGCAGUAGCCCAACAAUUAGGUCUGU